rnacentral:lncRNA from 1 species
UUAACUUGUUGGCCUGUUCAAAUUAUCACUGGCAGCUGAGCUUCCUCCGUGCUGAGCAGGUGUUACUGGAACAGCUGGAUGAAGAUGGGGGCUGCCGUAGGAAGUGUUUUCAGGUCAUGAGGCACCUGAAGGAGGACAUCUGGUGCCCGGGGAACAGGCCGGUUAUCACGUCCCACCAUCUGCAGGCCACACUAGAAGAGGCAGAGCUGAGACGCAAACUCAAGUCUAUCUCAUAUCAAAACCUCAUAACCUUAACGAUUGACUUCAUUACCUCUCAAUUAAGAUUGAUGGAAAUACCGUUCGGUGACAUGAAUAUUUCAGGCAGGAUUGAA